GACGAACGCUGGCGGCGUGCUUAACACAUGCAAGUCGAACGGUAAGGCCCUUCGGGGUACACGAGUGGCGAACGGGUGAGUAACACGUUGGUGAUCUGCCCUGCACUUCGGGAUAAGCCUUGGCAACUGGGUAUAAUACCGGAUAGGACCACUGCCUGCAUGGGUGGUGGUGGAAAGCUUUUGCGGUGUGGGAUGGGCCCGCGGGCUAUCAGCUUGUUGGUGGGGUGAUGGCCUACCAAGGCGACGACGGGUAGCCGGCCUGAGAGGGUGACCGGCCACACUGGGACUGAGAUACGGCCCAGACUCCUACGGGAGGCAGCAGUGGGGAAUAUUGCACAAUGGGCGCAAGCCUGAUGCAGCGACGCCGCGUGAGGGAUGACGGCCUUCGGGUUGUAAACCUCUUUCAGCACCGACGAAGCGCAAGUGACGGUAGGUGCAGAAGAAGGACCGGCCAACUACGUGCCAGCCGCCGCCGUAA
rnacentral:rRNA from 1 species